CCGAGAGUACAAACCACUUAAAAAAUCGCUUAUUGAAUUCAUCUGGUUACAGACUUUUUAAAGCCCUAAAACAUUUUUUUUUCCGCCUGCAAAUUCUUAACUCUAUAGUGUACUGUUCACUUUUUUGUUGUUGUUUUCUUUAAAGUUAGGUAUUAGAGAACUCAGAAGUGGGUUUUUAUUCUUAAAGAUUUGGGACUGUUUUAAAGAAAUUGUAAAUGUUGCUUCCUGGUUUUCAGCUUUUACAAUCAACCAGUAGAUUAAACAGAAGACGAGAAUAUAAAGGAAGACAACCUUGAUUACGUAAAAGUGGAGGUAUGGUAGACUAAAGCAAGUUAUAAGUGGCCAGAAACCCAGAUGCUACACAGCACUGACGGCUGAAUGUGCUUUUAAAUAAGCUGUAAAGUCAUCUACUGAAGGACAUCUUCGUUGCUUUCAAGUUUUGGCAGUCAUGAAUGAAGCUGGUGUAGCCAUCCAUGUGCUGAUUUUUGUGUGAACACACAGUUUCAAUUCCUGUCCAGAGUGUAUGAUUGCAAUAAUUUCUAAGGUAACAGUUGAAGAGUUCCUAUUGGGAUGUUGGUGUUCUCAGACCUCCAUACGUAUGAGUCUUCACCUGAAAAUGUGG
ensembl:lncRNA